rnacentral:rRNA from 1 species
UACGUAGGGGGCAAGCGUUGUCCGGAAUCACUGGGCGUAAAGCGUGCGUAGGCGGUUCUGCAAGUCCGGGGUGAAAGGCCAUGGCUCAACCAUGGAGGUGCCUUGGAAACUGUAGGACUUGAGUGCUGGAGAGGCAAGGGGAAUUCCACGUGUAGCGGUGAAAUGCGUAGAUAUGUGGAGGAAUACCAGUGGCGAAGGCCUUGCUGGACAGUGACUGACGCUGAGGCACGAAAGCGUGGGGAGCAAACAGGAUUAGAUACCCUGGUAGUCCACGCCGUAAACGAUGAGUGCUAGGUGUUGGGGGGAUACACCUCAGUGCCGAAGGAAACCCAAUAAGCACUCCGCCUGGGGAGUACGGUCGCAAGACUGAA